rnacentral:rRNA from 1 species
UACGUAGGGUGCGAGCAUUAAUCGGAAUUACUGGGCGUAAAGCGUGCGCAGGCGGUCUGUUAAGACCGAUGUGAAAUCCCCGGGCUUAACCUGGGAACUGCAUUGGUGACUGGCAGGCUUUGAGUGUGGCAGAGGGAGGUAGAAUUCCACGUGUAGCAGUGAAAUGCGUAGAGAUGUGGAGGAAUACCGAUGGCGAAGGCAGCCUCCUGGGCCAACACUGACGCUCAUGCACGAAAGCGUGGGGAGCAAACAGG